rnacentral:rRNA from 1 species
UACGAGGGGGGCAAGCGUUGUUCGGAAUUAUUGGGCGUAAAGGGUGCGUAGGCGGUUUGGUAAGUCUUAUGUGAAAUCUACAGGCUCAACUUGUAGUCUGCAUGAGAAACUGCCGGGCUUGAGUAUGGGAGAGGCCGGUGGAAUUCCGGGUGUAGUGGUGAAAUGCGUAGAGAUCCGGAGGAACACCAGAGGCGAAGGCGGCCGGCUGGACCUGACCUGACGCUGAGGCACGAAGGCGUGGGGAGCGAACGGGG